UAAUAAUAAUCAUAUACUCACAAAAUUAUUUUAAAUAUUUGGUCCUUUCGUACUAAAAUAUCUUAAAUUAAUGAGGAUAGAAACCAACCUGGCUUACACCGGUUUGAACUCAGAUCAUGUAAGGAUUUAAAGGUCGAACAGACCUAUAAAUUAAACUUCUACACCUAAUUAUAUUCCUUAAUCCAACAUCGAGGUCGCAAUCUUUUUUGUUGAUAUGAACUCUUAAAAAAAAUUACGCUGUUAUCCCUAAGGUAACUUUAUCUUACAAUCAAUAAUAAUGGAUCAAUCAUUCAUAAAUCAAUGUAAAUAAUAAAAAGAGUUAUUCAAAUCUUUAUGUCACCCCAACACAAUAUGUUUUUAAAAAUAUUCUCAACAAAUCUACAAUAAAUAUUAAUAUAACAUAUAAAGCUCUAUAGGGUCUUCUCGUCCUCCAUUUUCAUUUGAGCCUUUUAACUCAAAAGUUAAAUUCUAUACUUUAUAUUGAGACAGUUAAUAUUUCGUCAAACCAUUCAUUCAAGCCUUCAAUUAAAAAACUAAUGAUUAUGCUACCUUUGCACAGUCAAAAUACUGCGGCCCUUCAAUUUCAUCAGUGGGCAGGCCCGACUUUAAAUUAUACUCUAAAAGACAUGUUUUUGUUAAACAGGCGAAUAUUAAUUUUGCCUAAUUCCUUAAUAUAAAUUCAUAAAUUUUUUCCUAUUAAUACAUUCAAUUAUACUAAUUUUAUCAUUAUUUCAAAUAAUAUUUUACUUCUUAAAUUAUUCUAAUUCACAAAUUAAACUUUUUAUAAAAUCAUAAUAAUAUAAAAUAAUUUAUAACAUUAUUAAUUUGAUGACUAAUUUAAAGCCUACAAUUUUAAUUAUAUUUUACAAAUUAUAAUUUCUAAUUUAAAGCUUAUCCCUCAAAUUAUUUUCUAGUUCAAAUAAUCAUUUAAAAAUUUAAAUAAUUACUAAAACUAAACUGAAUUAAAUUCAUUUCUUAGAAAACUAGAUAUCUUAAAAAACGAUUAACAUUUCAUUUCUAACAUAAUAUUUUUAAUAAAUAUAUUACAUUAACUGAACAUAUUAUGUUAGCUCUUUUUAACUCGAGAAAUAUAAAUUUCUUAUAAAAUUAUUAAUAAACCCUGAUACACAAGGUACAAUUACAAAUCUACUUUCCAAAAAAUAACUUUUCACAUAUUUCAUAAUUCUUUCACAAUACUACUAUACUAUAAAUCUUCUUAUUUUUUCUAUAAAAUAUACUAAAAAUCUUAUAUUUAAAAUUAUUUUAAUUAAAACAAAAUUUAUACACUUUUAAUUAUUAAUAUUCAACUUU
rnacentral:rRNA from 1 species